rnacentral:rRNA from 1 species
AUUGAACGCUGGCGGCAGGCCUAACACAUGCAAGUCGAGCGGAUGAAGGGAGCUUGCUCCUGGAUUCAGCGGCGGACGGGUGAGUAAUGCCUAGGAAUCUGCCUGGUAGUGGGGGAUAACGUCCGGAAACGGGCGCUAAUACCGCAUACGUCCGGAGGGAGAAAGUGGGGGAUCUUCGGACCUCACGCUAUCAGAUGAGCCUAGGUCGGAUUAGCUAGUUGGUGGGGUAAAGGCCUACCAAGGCGACGAUCCGUAACUGGUCUGAGAGGAUGAUCAGUCACACUGGAGCUGAGACACGGUCCAGACUGCUACGGGAGGCAGCAGUGGGGAAUAUUGGACGAUGGGCGAAAGCCUGAUCCAGCCAUGCCGCGUGUGUGAAGAAGGUCUUCGGAUUGUAAAGCACUUAAAGUUGGGAGGAAGGGCAGUAAGUUAAUACCUUGCUGUUGUGACGUUGCCAACAGAAUAAGCACCGGCUAACUUCGUG